rnacentral:lncRNA from 1 species
CUCUCAUUAAUUUUGAAUUAAUAUUCUUGAGGUAGUUCAGACACAGAGUUAUUGAAAGAGAGUUGUCCAUCUUGAAGAAUUUUCCUAUAGAUGUGCUCUGAACAUUCUUUAUGCUUUAUUCUCUUGACAAGAGUGAUUUUCCCUGGACGUUAGUGAUUUAUGUGAACUCCAGAUCAGUGAAAUGCACAGUCUCACAAGGAAGGCCAUGCAACAUCUCACAGAUCACAGCCUUAAAAAGGAUCCAAAACCAGUCAGCAACCACAUCUUCCACACGCUGCGGAGCUGCCCUUCAGAAUCCUCAGGUUUGUACCUGGAGGGAGCCUCGCACGUGUAGGUCACGGCAAGUUAAAAGAAGUGGAGUUAAGGGUGUCACCCCAAAACCUGCGCCCGCUCCCCGCGGCGCUGCCCUGCAGCCCUCUCAGCACCAUCUCCUCACGUCCCACACGGAGUCCUGCACCUUCCAGGAGCUAUGCAAAGGAAGGGUGGAGCCCGUUCCUCACCUCCUGUCUGCAGCCGCAGAAGAUAGUACAUCCUGAAAGCGUGACAUCUGCCACGAGCCCUUUUUCCUCCUUCCCCUCGCUGAAGCUGCGGAAGAGAAGGAAGGGUAGAUUGGGACAGUUAUCUCGGCUUCCACGGAGACAUGCUACAAGGGUGGGAGACACAGAGGGUAGCUGAGCAGACAACCGCAAACACUACAGAGGCACAGGACCUCCCUGAAGAUGGCCUUGGCCUCCUAAGAGUCCCUCUGGAGUCCUACAGCUGUUCCUGCCGUCCAGAUGGGAAAACGUGCGUGCACGCACACGCGAGAGAGACCCUGAGGAAGUACCUGUGGGGGCAUCUAAGUUAGUAUAUACAUAUAUAUAUAUACUUAUUUACGAAAAAAUAGUGAGAGAACUUUUAUGCUAUACCACAAAGACACGGCCAUCGCUGCCGCUGCAGCACAUGCUGCUGGGUUUAUAUUGCACCAGAGAUAACGCAGUGAGAAAAUCGUACCCCAGAGGAAACGUAGCUUGGACUGCUUUUCACAAAGAAAAGUCCUAAUCAUACAAUUCACUGAAGCUGGAAAAGUUUCAUUUAAAAAUAAACAAAACGUAAUACUGGGGUCCA